rnacentral:rRNA from 1 species
CAAUAGCGUAUAUUAAAGUUGUUGCAGUUAAAAAGCUCGUAGUUGGAUUUCUGGUCGGAAGCUCCUGUCCUCUGAUGAGCGUACAAGUGCGUCCUACCAUCCUUCUGUUAACCUUUAAGGCUUUCGCGGCUUUCUAGGGGCUCAGAUAUUUUACCUUGAGAAAAUUAGAGUGUUUCAGGCAGGCUAGCGCCGGAAUACAUUAGCAUGGAAUAAUGGAAUAGGACUUUUGCCUCUUCUGUUGGUCAUGAGGCUCGAGUAAUGAUUAAUAGGGAUAGUUGGGGGCAUUAGUACUUAACUGUCAGAGGUGAAAUUCUCGGAUUUGUUAAAGACUAACUUAUGCGAAAGCAUUUGCCAAGGACGUUUUCAUUA